CCUACGGGAUGUAGCAGUAGGGAAUCUUCCACAAUGGGCGAAAGCCUGAUGGAGCAACGCCGCGUGGGUGAAGAAGGUCUUCGGAUCGUAAAACCCUGUUGUUAGAGAAGAAAGUGCGUGAGAGUAACUGUUCACGUUUCGACGGUAUCUAACCAGAAAGCCACGUCUAACUACGUGCCAGCAGCCGCGGUAAUAAGUAGGUGGCAAGCGUUAUCCGGAUUUAUUGGGCGUAAAGGGAACGCAGGCGGUCUUUUAAGUCUGAUGUGAAAGCCUUCGGCUUAACCGGAGUAGUGCAUUGGAAACUGGGAGACGUGAGUGCAGAAGAGGAGAGUGGAACUCCAUGUGUAGCGGUGAAAUGCGUAGAUAUAUGGAAGAACACCAGUGGCGAAAGCGGCUCUCUGGUCUGUAACUGACGCUGAGGUUCGAAAGCGUGGGUAGCAAACAGGAUUAGAUACCCCUGUAGUC
rnacentral:rRNA from 1 species